AUUGAACGCUGGCGGCAUGCCUUACACAUGCAAGUCGAACGGCAGCACGGACUUCGGUCUGGUGGCGAGUGGCGAACGGGUGAGUAAUAUAUCGGAACGUACCUUUCAGUGGGGGAUAACUAUCCGAAAGGAUAGCUAAUACCGCAUAUUCUGUGAGCAGGAAAGCAGGGGAUCUUCGGACCUUGCGCUGAUUGAGCGGCCGAUACCAGAUUAGCUAGUUGGUGAGGUAAAGGCUCACCAAGGCUACGAUCUGUAGAGGGUCUGAGAGGAUGAUCCGCCACACUGGAACGGAGACACGGUCCAGACUCCUACGGGAGGCAGCAGUGGGGAAUUUUGGACAAUGGGGGCAACCCUGAUCCAGCCAUGCCGCGUGAGUGAAGAAGGCCUUCGGGUUGUAAAGCUCUUUCGUCCGGGAAGAAAUCGCAUUGGCUAAUACCUGAUGUGGAUGACGGUACCGGAAUAAGAAGCACCGGCUAACUACGUGCCAGCAGCCGCGGUAACAC
rnacentral:rRNA from 1 species